rnacentral:hammerhead_ribozyme from 1 species
UGACGAAACGGCGCCUAGAGCGCCGUCCUCCGGAUUGGCAUUCCGGGGCUGAGGAGUCUGCCUAUA